rnacentral:tRNA from 1 species
GCGCCAGUAGCUCAGCUGGAUAGAGCAACGGAUUUCUAAUCCGUCGGUCGGGGGUUCAAGUCCUCC